rnacentral:rRNA from 1 species
AUUGAACGCUGGCGGCGUGCCUAACACAUGCAAGUCGAGCGGUAACAGGUGUAGCAAUACAUGCUGACGAGCGGCGAACGGGUGAGUAAUGCUUCGGAAUCUACCCAAUGGUGGGGAAUAACCAGCCGAAAGGUUGGCUAAUACCGCAUACGUCCCACGGGAGAAAGCAGGGGAUCGCAAGACCUUGCGCCAAUGGAUGAGCCGAAGUCGGAUUAGCUAGUUGGAGGGUAACGGCCUACCAAGGCGACGAUCCGUAGCUGGUCUGAGAGGACGACCAGCCACACUGGGACUGAGACACGGCCCAGACUCCUACGGGAGGCAGCAGUGGGGAAUAUUGGACAAUGGGGGAAACCCUGAUCCAGCGACGCCGCGUGUGUGAAGAAGGCCUGCGGGUUGUAAAGCACUUUUAGUGGGGAUGAAAUGUUCAGGGUUAACACCUCUGGAUUUUGACCUAACCCACAG